CCGAGCUGGAGCGGGGCCUAGCACAGUUGAGGCCUCCUCUGGGCCCAGACCAGAGGGAGCCCCGGCACAGCCCAGGCUUUGGGGCCUAGGAUGGAGGAGGACCAGGCACAGUUGGGGCUGCUUUGGGGCCCAGGAUGGAGGGGGGCCAGGCACAGUUGGGGCUGCUUUGGGGCCCAGGAUGGAGGAGGACCAGGCUCAGUUGGGGCUGUGUUGGGGCCCAGGAUGGAGGAGGACCAGGCACAGUUGGGGCUGCUUUGGGGCCCGGGCUGGUGGGAGGCCCGGCACAGCCAGAGCCUUGUGGCUGCACUCCCUCUGUACAGUUCAACCUUGAUCCCUAACCUAAAAUGGUAACUGUAGUGAAAGGCAGUAGCUGAUCCAGCUGCUUUCCUGUGUUUUAAUUUUCCUAAGAAUGGG
rnacentral:lncRNA from 1 species